GCUCAGUUUGUUGAACGUCUAACUCUUGAUUUCUGCUUAGGUCAUGAUCUCAGGGUUGUGGGAUCGAGUCCCUUAUUGAGCU
rnacentral:tRNA from 1 species